UACGAAGGGUGCAAACGUUGCUCGGAAUUAUUGGGCGUAAAGCGUGCGCAGGCGGUGAUGUAAGCCAGGUGUGAAAUCCCCGGGCUUAACCUGGGAACUGCAUUUGUGACUGCAUCGCUGGAGUGCGGCAGAGGGGGAUGGAAUUCCGCGUGUAGCAGUGAAAUGCGUAGAUAUGCGGAGGAACACCGAUGGCGAAGGCAAUCCCCUGGGCCUGCACUGACGCUCAUGCACGAAAGCGUGGGGAGCAAACAGG
rnacentral:rRNA from 1 species